rnacentral:tRNA from 1 species
GGCGUUGUACUUUAAUAAAAAGGUUAAGUUUGCAUCUUAAAAUUAGAGAUUUCUCUCUUCGCUU